rnacentral:rRNA from 1 species
GUAUAGGGCCUAAAUACUCUAAAGGCACCAGAUCCUGACUGAUCUUGAACGUUAAGUAGGGAUAAACAUGGUUAGGACUUGGAUGGGAGACCACCACCAAAUACCAGGUGCUGAAGGCU